rnacentral:rRNA from 1 species
CCUACGGGUGGCAGCAGUGAGGAAUAUUGGUCAAUGGGCGCGAGCCUGAACCAGCCAAGUCGCGUGAGGGAAGACGGUCCUAUGGAUUGUAAACCUCUUUUGUCGGGGAGCAAAAGACGCCACGCGUGGCGUUCCGAGAGUACCCGAAGAAAAAGCAUCGGACAACUCCGUUCCAUCAGCCGCGGGAAUACGGAGGAUGCGAGCGUUAUCCGGAUUUAUUGUGUUUAAAGGGUGCCCAGGGGGAAGGUCAAGUCAGGGGUAAAAUGGAGAGGCUCAACCUCUUCGAGACGUUGAAACUGGUUUUGUUGAGUGAGCGAGGAGUAUGAGGAAUGCGUGGGGUAGCGGUGAAAUGGAUAGAU